CGGGGUAACGGCCCACCAUGUCAGCGAUGGGUAGCCGAGCUGAGAGGCUGAUCGGCCACACUGGAACUGAGACACGGUCCAGACUCCUACGGGAGGCAGCAGUGGGGAAUAUUGGGCAAUGGGCGCAAGCCUGACCCAGCAACGCCGCGUGAGGGAAGAAGGCUUUCGGGUUGUAAACCUCUGUCCUUGGUGACGAAAAAAUAGACGGUAGCCAAGGAGGAAGCCCCGGCUAACUACGUGCCAGCAGCCGCGGUAAUACGUAGGGGGCGAGCGUUGUCCGGAAUUACUGGCGUAAAGGGUAGCGUAGGUGGCCUUUUAAGUUGGAUGUGAAAUACCCGGGCUAACUGGGGGUGGCAUCUAAUACUGGAGGGCUAGAGUGCAGGAGAGGAAAGCGGAAUUCCUAGUGUAGCGGUGAAAUAGCGUAGAUAUUAGGAGGAA
rnacentral:rRNA from 1 species